rnacentral:rRNA from 1 species
UUAGGGGAGCUAUACCAUGCAAGUCGAACGGCAGCGCGAGAGAGCUUGCUCUCUUGGCGGCGAGUGGCGGACGGGUGAGUAAUAUAUCGGAACGUGCCCAGUAGCGGGGGAUAACUACUCGAAAGAGUGGCUAAUACCGCAUACGCCCUACGGGGGAAAGGGGGGGAUCGCAAGACCUCUCACUAUUGGAGCGGCCGAUAUCGGAUUAGCUAGUUGGUGGGGUAAAGGCUCACCAAGGCAACGAUCCGUAGCUGGUUUGAGAGGACGACCAGCCACACUGGGACUGAGACACGGCCCAGACUCCUACGGGAGGCAGCAGUGGGGAAUUUUGGACAAUGGGGGAAACCCUGAUCCAGCCAUCCCGCGUGUAUGAUGAAGGCCUUCGGGUUGUAAAGUACUUUUGGCAGAGAAGAAAAGGUAUCCCCUAAUACGGGAUACUGCUGACGGUAUCUGCAGAAUAAGCACCGGCUAACUACGUGCCAGCAGCCGCGGUAAUACGUAGGGUGCAAGCGUUAAUCGGAAUUACUGGGCGUAAAGCGUGUGUAGGCGGUUCGGAAAGAAAGAUGUGAAAUCCCAGGGCUCAACCUUGGAACUGCAUUUUUAACUGCCGAGCUAGAGUAUGUCAGAGGGGGGUAGAAUUCCACGUGUAGCAGUGAAAUGCGUAGAUAUGUGGAGGAAUACCGAUGGCGAAGGCAGCCCCCUGGGAUAAUACUGACGCUCAGACACGAAAGCGUGGGGAGCAAACAGGAUUAGAUACCCUGGUAGUCCACGCCCUAAACGAUGUCAACUAGCUGUUGGGGCCGUUAGGCCUUAGUAGCGCAGAUAACGCGUGAAGUUGACCGCCUGGGGAGUACGGUCGCAAGAUUAAAACUCAAAGGAAUUGACGGGGACCCGCACAAGCGGUGGAUGAUGUGGAUUAAUUCGAUGCAACGCGAAAAACCUUACCUACCCUUGACAUGUCUGGAAAGCCAAAAAAGAUUUGGCCGUGCUCGCAAGAGAACCGGAACACAGGUGCUGCAUGGCUGGCCUCACCUCCUGUUCGAAAGAUGUUGGGUUAAGUCCCGCAACGAAGCCCAACCCUUGCCAUUAGUUGCUACCCAAAAACACUCUAAUAAAACUGCCGGGGACAAACCCGGAGGAAGGGGGGGAUGACGAGCAAGCCCCCAUGGCCCUUAUGGGUAGGGCUUCACACGCUAAUAAAAGGGUAGGGACAGAGGGUCGCCAACCCGCGAGGGGGAGCCAAUCUCAGAAACCCGAUCGUAGUCCGGAUCGCAGUCUGCAACUCGACUGCGUGAAGUCGGAAUCGCUAGUAAUCGCGGAUCAGAAUGUCGCGGUGAAUACGUUCCCGGGUCUUGUACACACCGCCCGUCACACCAUGGGAGUGGGUUUCACCAGAAGUAGGUAGCCUAACCGUAAGGAGGGCGCUUACCCAGUCGGGGUCCGAC